rnacentral:tRNA from 1 species
AAUUAGAUAAGCUAAAAAAGCUAAUGGGUUCAUACCCCAUCUAUGAAAAAUUUUUUUUCUCUAAUUA